CUGCAGAAUCCAAACUAUCUCGGACAAAACGAAAAAGGAUUCAUUGCUCCUCUGUAUAAAGAUACAAGAUACAGAUCCUUGUUACACAUCAAACUGUUCCAUUAAAGAACGAUAUAAGAGAGGAAUAGAUACCAAGGUAGACACUAAUGAGACUAGUUAUCAGAUCAAAAACAGUCUAAAAGAUGUUGAUCUGUUCUGUAGCUUUGAAAAAGCUGGAGACAGAUACGUAGAAGACAAACCUUUAAACAUGAGGUGCCAAAAUGAGUCAAGUCAUCAUGCGGUUUUCAGCACGAAUAAAGUAAUUAAUAGCUUCCAAGACACAUCGACAAUCAAACAAGGAUGUAUAUGUAAUUCACAAACUGCAGAAGGUAUGUUUCUGAAAAUUAAAUAAGAGACCGUUGAUUAAUGUUGCUUGAUGAACACAAUUUGAAAAAUAUAUAUUUUAAAUUAUAAAAAUGAAAAUUGGAAAAUUGUACAUUCACAGUCUAUAAAGCUUUAGGUGCUAGUUAAUGAUUAGAAACACGACAAAAUAUCAUUAUGACGCAUGUGCAUAAUUGUAAUAACACAGACCCUUACCUUUUUUUAUUUUAAGUAUUUGUCCAAUGCUUCUAAAUCAUUUUUAUCAAUAAUGUAUUACAGUAACUGUUGAUCACAAUUAUAAAGACUGUUUCAAAAGAAAUUUGGAAUUUUAAAGCAAUAAUAAGAUAGCCAUCACGUAAUAGUGUCGGUACAGAUUCAUCUCUUUACGUCAACUAAGCAAUGAAUCCAGUGUUUUACAAUGUAAUGAAAAUGUAUUUCUUGUAAGGUAAACCAAAUUAUAUUCAAUUUCAAAUAUUUAAUUACAAUUAUGGCUUCAUUAUUAGACUUGGAAUGCAUGGUCACCCGGGGCACCCCAAAAUUUUAAUUGAAAGGUCAUUUAUCACUUGAUAAUUAUCAUUUGUAUUUUGGAAAACUCCGCGGAAAUGCCGAAUGCUUUUACAUUAUGAGUUUGACAAAAGUUAUAACUUCUAAUCUGCAAAAUUUGAACGUUCAGAGUUUAAAAUGGCUGAGAAAUCGAGGUUAAAAUCUAUUAAGUCAGGAUCGGCAUUGAUCGAAAAAGGACUUUUCGGAAAAGGUGGAGCAGAGAGCAGUAAUAAAAUUCUGCGUAGACAUAGGGAAAACAGCAAAAGAUACCCAUAAAUGCUAUUAACAGUCGGGAAAAAAUAGUAAAGGAAGUCGUUCUUAAGUAUUUAAGUGGAAUAUAAAAUUUUGGGAACGAAGGAAUAGUUUACAGGAUGCCAUGCUUGAAGGAAGACCAUCAUUCCGAGAUUGCAGUGCUGUAAAAAAUGAAUUUCUUAGCGUGACUUUGAUGAUUUGCUGGAUCUGAGAACAGGAAGUAUUAAAUAUCAUUUUAAAUAUGAAAUCUGAAUAUUUGUACACAUUUUUGAUGACUGAUUAAAGGGACAUAAGAAAUGUAUUGAGUUAAACGAUGACUGUGUUACGAAAAUUCCCAUGUAUUGAUAUUUUGACGUCAGGUACAGUCAAGGAUUUCUGUUUUAGUACUCCGGAUAUGAAUGUGUUUUGUAUCUGAUAAACAUACAUUGUAUAACUAUUUGUGUUUUGCUUUUUUUAAAAUUUGCGUUUGUAUAAAAUGAAACAAUAUUUUAUGAAAAUAAUAGUUUCAUAUAUUUUAUCAAUGUUUGUCAGUAAUUAUCAAUGUUUUUAAUUACAGGAACGAGCAAUGAAAGACAAAGCGACAUGUGGUAACUAGACACAACCUAGAAGGAAACGAAGCACGGGGGAAAACAAAUCUUGCCAAAAUAUUUUGAAAUUCUUGUGGAGCGAUAGCCGGGGUGGUGAUUGGCUGCCUGAUUGGUUUUGCACUUUUGAUCGCCUUAAUUGUUGUUUGCUGUAACAUCAUGAACAAAAAUAGAGGCACGGCGGGACGAGUUGUAUAUCCUAACAACGGCUCAAAUAACGUCACUGUUGAGAACUCAUCCAAUCGGAAUCCUUAUACAGAUUAUUUAGAUGGUCCUAUUCAACCCCCAGGAUACGCCCAGUCUACUUAUUUCUCAGGGACCUGGACCCGUGGACCGGCCUAUC